rnacentral:rRNA from 1 species
CGUGUAGGCGGCCAGGUAGGUCCGUUGUGAAAACUCGAGGCUCAACCUCGAGACGUCGGCGGAAACCCUCUGGCUAGAGUCCGGAAGAGGAGAGUGGAAUUCCUGGUGUAGCGGUGAAAUGCGCAGAUAUCAGGAAGAACACCCGUGGCGAAGGCGGCUCUCUGGGACGGUACUGACGCUGAGACGCGAAAGCGUGGGGAGCAAACA